CAGUAGCCACGGGAAUACAGAGGGUGCGAGCGUUAAUCGGAUUUACUGGGCGUAAAGCGUGCGUAGGCGGCUUUUUAAGUCGGAUGUGAAAUCCCUGAGCUUAACUUAGGAAUUGCAUUCGAUACUGGGAAGCUAGAGUAUGGGAGAGGACGGUAGAAUUCCAGGUGUAGCGGUGAAAUGCGUAGAGAUCUGGAGGAAUACCGAUGGCGAAGGCAGCCAUCUGGCCUAAUACUGACGCUGAGGUACGAAAGCAUGGGGAGCAAACAGGAUUAGAUACCCCAGUAGUCCCUGUCUCUUAUAC
rnacentral:rRNA from 1 species